UUAAGCGACUAAGCGUACACGGUGGAUGCCCUGGCAGUCAGAGGCGAUGAAGGACGUGCUAAUCUGCGAUAAGCGUCGGUGAGGUGAUAUGAACCGUUAUAACCGGCGAUUUCCGAAUGGGGAAACCCAGUGUGUUUCGACACACUAUCAUUAACUGAAUCCAUAGGUUAAUGAGGCGAACCGGGGGAACUGAAACAUCUAAGUACCCCGAGGAAAAGAAAUCAACCGAGAUUCCCCCAGUAGCGGCGAGCGAACGGGGAGGAGCCCAGAGCCUGAAUCAGUGUGUGUGUUAGUGGAAGCGUCUGGAAAGGCGCGCGAUACAGGGUGACAGCCCCGUACACAAAAAUGCACAUGCUGUGAGCUCGAUGAGUAGGGCGGGACACGUGGUAUCCUGUCUGAAUAUGGGGGGACCAUCCUCCAAGGCUAAAUACUCCUGACUGACCGAUAGUGAACCAGUACCGUGAGGGAAAGGCGAAAAGAACCCCGGCGAGGGGAGUGAAAAAGAACCUGAAACCGUGUACGUACAAGCAGUGGGAGCCUCUUAAUGGGGUGACUGCGUACCUUUUGUAUAAUGGGUCAGCGACUUAUAUUCUGUAGCAAGGUUAACCGAAUAGGGGAGCCGAAGGGAAACCGAGUCUUAACUGGGCGUUAAGUUGCAGGGUAUAGACCCGAAACCCGGUGAUCUAGCCAUGGGCAGGUUGAAGGUUGGGUAACACUAACUGGAGGACCGAACCGACUAAUGUUGAAAAAUUAGCGGAUGACUUGUGGCUGGGGGUGAAAGGCCAAUCAAACCGGGAGAUAGCUGGUUCUCCCCGAAAGCUAUUUAGGUAGCGCCUCGUGAAUUCAUCUCCGGGGGUAGAGCACUGUUUCGGCAAGGGGGUCAUCCCGACUUACCAACCCGAUGCAAACUGCGAAUACCGGAGAAUGUUAUCACGGGAGACACACGGCGGGUGCUAACGUCCGUCGUGAAGAGGGAAACAACCCAGACCGCCAGCUAAGGUCCCAAAGUCAUGGUUAAGUGGGAAACGAUGUGGGAAGGCCCAGACAGCCAGGAUGUUGGCUUAGAAGCAGCCAUCAUUUAAAGAAAGCGUAAUAGCUCACUGGUCGAGUCGGCCUGCGCGGAAGAUGUAACGGGGCUAAACCAUGCACCGAAGCUGCGGCAGCGACACUAUGUGUUGUUGGGUAGGGGAGCGUUCUGUAAGCCUGUGAAGGUGGCCUGUGAGGGUUGCUGGAGGUAUCAGAAGUGCGAAUGCUGACAUAAGUAACGAUAAAGCGGGUGAAAAGCCCGCUCGCCGGAAGACCAAGGGUUCCUGUCCAACGUUAAUCGGGGCAGGGUGAGUCGACCCCUAAGGCGAGGCCGAAAGGCGUAGUCGAUGGGAAACAGGUUAAUAUUCCUGUACUUGGUGUUACUGCGAAGGGGGGGACGGAGAAGGCUAUGUUGGCCGGGCGACGGUUGUCCCGGUUUAAGCGUGUAGGCUGGUUUUCCAGGCAAAUCCGGAAAACCAAGGCUGAGGCGUGAUGACGAGGCACUACGGUGCUGAAGUGACAAAUGCCCUGCUUCCAGGAAAAGCCUCUAAGCAUCAGGUAACAUCAAAUCGUACCCCAAACCGACACAGGUGGUCAGGUAGAGAAUACCAAGGCGCUUGAGAGAACUCGGGUGAAGGAACUAGGCAAAAUGGUGCCGUAACUUCGGGAGAAGGCACGCUGAUAUGUAGGUGAAGCGACUUGCUCGUGGAGCUGAAAUCAGUCGAAGAUACCAGCUGGCUGCAACUGUUUAUUAAAAACACAGCACUGUGCAAACACGAAAGUGGACGUAUACGGUGUGACGCCUGCCCGGUGCCGGAAGGUUAAUUGAUGGGGUUAGCGGUAACGCGAAGCUCUUGAUCGAAGCCCCGGUAAACGGCGGCCGUAACUAUAACGGUCCUAAGGUAGCGAAAUUCCUUGUCGGGUAAGUUCCGACCUGCACGAAUGGCGUAAUGAUGGCCAGGCUGUCUCCACCCGAGACUCAGUGAAAUUGAACUCGCUGUGAAGAUGCAGUGUACCCGCGGCAAGACGGAAAGACCCCGUGAACCUUUACUAUAGCUUGACACUGAACAUUGAGCCUUGAUGUGUAGGAUAGGUGGGAGGCUUUGAAGUGUGGACGCCAGUCUGCAUGGAGCCGACCUUGAAAUACCACCCUUUAAUGUUUGAUGUUCUAACGUUGGCCCCUAAUCGGGGUUGCGGACAGUGUCUGGUGGGUAGUUUGACUGGGGCGGUCUCCUCCUAAAGAGUAACGGAGGAGCACGAAGGUUGGCUAAUCCUGGUCGGACAUCAGGAGGUUAGUGCAAUGGCAUAAGCCAGCUUGACUGCGAGCGUGACGGCGCGAGCAGGUGCGAAAGCAGGUCAUAGUGAUCCGGUGGUUCUGAAUGGAAGGGCCAUCGCUCAACGGAUAAAAGGUACUCCGGGGAUAACAGGCUGAUACCGCCCAAGAGUUCAUAUCGACGGCGGUGUUUGGCACCUCGAUGUCGGCUCAUCACAUCCUGGGGCUGAAGUAGGUCCCAAGGGUAUGGCUGUUCGCCAUUUAAAGUGGUACGCGAGCUGGGUUUAGAACGUCGUGAGACAGUUCGGUCCCUAUCUGCCGUGGGCGCUGGAGAACUGAGGGGGGCUGCUCCUAGUACGAGAGGACCGGAGUGGACGCAUCACUGGUGUUCGGGUUGUCAUGCCAAUGGCACUGCCCGGUAGCUAAAUGCGGAAGAGAUAAGUGCUGAAAGCAUCUAAGCACGAAACUUGCCCCGAGAUGAGUUCUCCCUGAGACUUAGAGUCUCCUGAAGGAACGUUGAAGACGACGACGUUGAUAGGCCGGGUGUGUAAGCGCAGCGAUGCGUUGAGCUAACCGGUACUAAUGAACCGUGAGGCUUAACCUU
rnacentral:rRNA from 1 species